rnacentral:miRNA from 1 species
ACAUCUCUCUAUCUGUGUAUCUGCGUGACUGCCUGUCUAUCAGACAGAUAGAGAUAAGUACAAUCUAUCUGUCUGAUAGACAGGCAGACACACAGAUACACAGAUA